rnacentral:rRNA from 1 species
CACGUAGGGGGCGAGCGUUGUCCGGAUUUAUUGGGCGUAAAGAGCUCGUAGGCGGUUCGGCAAGUCGGAUGUGAAAUCUCCACGCUCAACGUGGAGGGGCCAUUCGAAACUGCCGUGACUCGAGUCCGGUAGGGGAGUGCGGAAUUCCCGGUGUAGCGGUGAAAUGCGUAGAGAUCGGGAGGAAGGCCGGUGGCGAAGGCGGCGCUCUGGAACAUUUCUGACGCUGAGGCUCGAAAGCGUGGGGAGCAAACAGG